AACGUAGACGGUGUGGCAAGUCUGAUGUGAAAGGCAUGGGCUCAACCUGUGGACUGCAUUGGAAACUGUCAUACUUGAGUGCCGGAGGGGUAAGCGGAAUUCCUAGUGUAGCGGUGAAAUACGUAGAUAUUAGGAGGAACACCAGUGGCGAAGGCGGCUUACUGGACGGUAACUGACGUUGAGGCUCGAAAGCGUGGGGAGCAAACA
rnacentral:rRNA from 1 species